CCACCGUUCGCGGUCCCGCCAGGCAAAAGGCCAGCGAACGAACAGCAGAGAUGGAUGCAAAGGCCCCCACUCCAUUCAGACCAGAUUCACUGUUUGCUUUUAAAGUGAAUUUGAAUCCUUGGACUGAUGUUAAGGUCGAGAUGCCAUCAGGAAACGUGGGUGGCUGUGCACAGAGGACAGGUAGAAGAAUGUUCUGGAGUUCAGAGGAGAUUUGGGGGUGAGGAAUGGAGAAAUUGGAGCCACCAGCGUGUGCAGAUGGUCACUGAGUGGGUCAGUGAUCCCAGAGCCGACACUUCUGGCCUGGCCCAGAGUUAAACAUCAGUGUCAUCACGUGCGUGAAGGCUGCCAGGCAGAGGAAGGCUCCGUCAGAGGGAGGUGGGAACAGAAAGACGUGGAGAUACUGCAAUACAAGGAAGUGAGGCUCUGAGACAUCAAGUGACUUGCUCAAGAACACACAGUCUGUUCCUGGUGGAGCUGGGAUUCAAACAGGAGCCUUUUGACUCCAGAGCCUGGCGUGUAUCAUCCUGCAUCCAGCCUCCUUCACAAUGUCACUCCCCAAAUGCACAGGAAUCACAGGGAUCACAGGACUCAGGCUCCCUUCCCCCACCCCGAGGCAGAUGGGACAGGACUUUGCCUCACUCCUCCAGAGCUGCUAGUGAGGGGCAAAGUCCAGAGCUGCUCCAGGUCCAGCCUCCCACUGCCCGGCCACUUCAGUCCCCAGGAGAUGUGGCCUACUCCAGGCCACCCCUGAAUUUCCUGGGGCUCAAGCCCCUUUCUUCCCCAGAGCUCACUUGGGAACCUAUCGUAGAAGGAUAAAGAAGAGUGAGAAGAGGUCUUUGCAGGGCAGAAAGGAGUGCUUGGGUUCAGAGAGGUUGGAGGGAGAUGGGGGAGGGGUAAGAGAGUAGUUAGAGACCAGCGAAGACUUGGGGAAGGUGGGGGAUGGGGACGGAGAUAAGAUGGGAUGGGUGAUGGGCAGGAGAGGGGCAGGUGGUGAUGUAGGGAUACAGGGGAGAGAGGUCUGGGAGGCUUCUUUACCUUCAGGGUCCAUGACAGCCUGGAGCUGGCCGACUGGUGUGCCCACAGCUCCGUCUAGUGUUUGGAGAGG